rnacentral:rRNA from 1 species
GACGAACCGUCCGAACGUUAUUCGGAAUCACUGGGCUUAAAGGGUGCGUAGGCGGCGCGGAAAGUUGGGUGUGAAAUCCCUCGGCUUACCGAGGAACGGCGCCCAAAACUACCGUGCUCGAGGGAGAUAGAGGUGAGCGGAACUUAGGGUGGAGCGGUGAAAUGCGUUGAUAUCCUAAGGAACACCGGUGGCGAAAGCGGCUCACUGGAUCUCUUCUGACGCUGAUGCACGAAAGCUAGGGUAGCGAACGGG